rnacentral:rRNA from 1 species
UUUUAUGAGAGUUUGAUCCUGGCUCAGGACGAACGCUGGCGGCGUGCCUAAUACAUGCAAGUCGAACGCUUCUUUUUCCACCGGAGCUUGCUCCACCGGAAAAAGAGGAGUGGCGAACGGGUGAGUAACACGUGGGUAACCUGCCCAUCAGAAGGGGAUAACACUUGGAAACAGGUGCUAAUACCGUAUAACAAU